rnacentral:ncRNA from 1 species
AAUCAGUGGAUGAGUCAUGGUUAGGGGUGAAAUUCCACUCAAACCCAGAGCUAGUUGGUUCUCUCUGAAAUGCAUUGAGGCACAGCAACUGACUGGACCAUCUAGGGGCAAAUCACUGUUUCAGUACAGGUGGAGAGAGAGGUACCAAAUCGAGGAAAAAGCUGAAUACUAUAUUCCCCCAAUAAAAGGGGUAAAGGUUAGCCGAGGAGAUGAUGGGGGAUAAGCUUCAUUGUCAAGAGGGAAACAAUCCAGAUCAUUAGCUAAGGCCCCUAAAUGACCGCUCAGUGAUGAAGGAAGUAUGAGUGCAAAGACAGCCAGGAGGUUUUCCUAGAAUCAUCGAACCUUGAAAGAGUGCAUAAUAGCUCACUGAUCGAGUGCUCUUGCACCGAAGAUGAACGGGACUAAGCGAUCUGCUGAAGCUGUGGGAUGUAAAAAUACAUCGGUAGGGGAGAGUUUCGCCUCAUAGGGAAGCACCAGUGUGAGCAGGUGUGGAUGAAGCAGAAGAGAGAAUGUCGGCUUGAGUAACGCAAACAUUGGUAAGAAUCCAAUGCCCCGAAAACCUAAGGGUUCCUCCACAAGGUUCGUCCAUGGAGGGUGAGUCAGGGCCUAAGAUCAGGCCGAAAGGUGUAGUCGAUGGAAAACAGGUUAAUAUUCCUGUACUCCCCCUUGUUGGUCCCGAGGGACAGAAGAGGCUAGGUUAGUCGAAAGAUGUUUAUCAGUUCAAGGGCGCAAGGUGACCCUCUAUACAUUGAUUCAAAGGUAAAAUAAGAAUCAAAUAUAGGUGUGUACAAGGUGAGGUUGGGGGUGGAUAUUCCUCAUCAUCUACUCUAGCACACAAAAAUCCAAGAUGGCUUAUCCAA